CAGCCGCCGCGGGAAUACGAAGGGUGCAAGCGUUACUCGGAAUUACUGGGCGUAAAGCGCACGUAGGCGGAUCGAUCAGUCAGGGGUGAAAUCCCAGAGCUCAACUCUGGAACUGCCUUUGAUACUGUCGAUCUGGAGUAUGGAAGAGGUGAGUGGAAUUCCGAGUGUAGAGGUGAAAUUCGUAGAUAUUCGGAGGAACACCAGUGGCGAAGGCGGCCAUCUGGGACAACACCGACGCUGAGGCACGAAAGCGUGGGGAGCAAACAGGAUUAGAUACCCCAGUAGUCCCUGUCUCUUAUAA
rnacentral:rRNA from 1 species